rnacentral:tRNA from 1 species
GGGGACGUAGCUCAGCUGGUAGAGCGCCGCGUUUGCAACGCGGAUGUCAGGAGUUCGAGUCUCCUCGUCUCCA